rnacentral:rRNA from 1 species
UACAGAGGUCUCAAGCGUUGUUCGGAUUCAUUGGGCGUAAAGGGUGUGUAGGUGGCGCCGUAAGUCGGGUGUGAAAUUUCGAGGUUUAACCUCGAAACUGCAUUCGAUACUGCGGUGCUUGAGGACUGGAGAGGAGACUGGAAUUCAUGGUGUAGCAGUGAAAUGCGUAGAUAUCAUGAGGAAGACCAGUGGCGAAGGCGGGUCUCUGGACAGUUCCUGACACUGAGACACGAAGGCCAGGGGAGCAAACGGG